AUGAAACACUCCUACGGGAGGCAGCAGUGAGGAAUAUUGGUCAAUGGGCGAGAGCCUGAACCAGCCAAGUCGCGUGAAGGAUGACUGUCUUAUGGAUUGUAAACUUCUUUUAUACGGGAAUAACAAGAGUCACGUGUGACUCCCUGCAUGUACCGUAUGAAUAAGCAUCGGCUAACUCCGUGCCAGCAGCCGCGGUAAUACGGAGGAUGCGAGCGUUAUCCGGAUUUAUUGGGUUUAAAGGGUGCGUAGGCGGCCUGUUAAGUCAGCGGUGAAAUCUAGGAGCUUAACUCCUAAAUUGCCAUUGAUACUGGCGGGCUUGAGUGUAGAUGAGGUAGGCGGAAUGCGUGGUGUAGCGGUGGAAUGCAUAGAUAUCACGCAGAACUCCGAUUGCGAAGGCAGCUUACUAAGGUACAACUGACGCUGAAGCACGAAAGCGUGGGUAUCAAACAGGAUUAGAAACCCUAGUAGUCCGAAGUUC
rnacentral:rRNA from 1 species